AGUGAACGCUGGCGGUAGGCCUAACACAUGCAAGUCGAACGGCAGCACGGGCUUCGGUCUGGUGGCGAGUGGCGAACGGGUGAGUAAUGUAUCGGAACGUGCCCAGUCGUGGGGGAUAACGUAGUGAAAAUUACGCUAAUACCGCAUACGAUCUAUGGAUGAAAGCGGGGGAUCGCAAGACCUCGCGCGAUUGGAGCGGCCGAUAUCAGAUUAGGUAGUUGGUGGGGUAAAGGCCCACCAAGCCAACGAUCUGUAGCUGGUCUGAGAGGACGACCAGCCACACUGGAACUGGGACACGGUCCAGACUCCUACGGGAGGCAGCAGUGGGGAAUUUUGGACAAUGGGCGAAAGCCUGAUCCAGCCAUUCCGUGUGCAGGAUGAAGGCCCUCGGGUUGUAAACUGCUUUUGUACAGAACGAAAAGGUUUCUACUAAUACUAGGAGCUCAUGACGGUACUGUAAGAAUAAGCACCGGCUAACUACGUGCCAGCAGCCGCAGUAA
rnacentral:rRNA from 1 species